CGGGGUGUGGCGCAGUUGGGAGCGCGCCUGCUUUGGGAGCAGGAGGUCGCUGGUUCGAGCCCAGUCACCCCGACCA
rnacentral:tRNA from 1 species